UCAGGACAGGUAUUUUAUACCCACACACCAAAGAAACUUUUUGAGGUUUGGGGAGAUGCAUCACUGCGGAUCCUCUCGUAUUGCAAAAAAAGAAGAGAGCCUUGGAUCUACCAGUUCAAGCAGACAUUUCAUCUGACAGCCUUGGAGAUUCCACUUUGGAGAUGGUGCUUUAACAACUCUGCCAGCUAUCCUUUCUCCACUGCUAUACAGAUUGUGCAGCAAGAUGGUUCGGCCCUCAUACCAGGAGGCAAAACAAGAAUUUGUUGAUUUGCGACUUCUAGGUGCAUUAUUUAUGACAAUAAAUGUUGGACAUUAUUUAAUUCA